rnacentral:lncRNA from 1 species
UGGACCAGACUGAAGUUUUGCAUUUGCUCGAGUCGCCGGAGGCUUUGAAGGCCAAAGUGGCAGAGGCCAUGGAGGUCCUGAGAAAUGUUGCCCAACAGCAGGCUAACAGCAGCGCUGAUCAACUAUCUUCAUUGUCUCUGAAUGACAACCUUGUCUCGUAAAUGAGAAGUGUGGCAUCUGGUGUUUCCUUGCUAUGUGGGGAGUCUUUGGCAUAAGUUUUCGUUUGAUGUUGGAGUGAUUGUAGCUUUUUCAAAAUUAGAACCUAGACUUAAUUUCCUCCUGCAAUUUUUUGUUUUUGUUUUUGGUUUUUGGUUGUGUAGGAUUUUUACUGUUGCUACAUUUGGCGUGCAUCAUGGAUUCAUGGUUUUGGUUAAUUUAAUGACUUUAGACAUUUUCUUAAAUUUUUUUUGUAGUCUUUUCUUAUUUUAAUCGUUUUGUUUUGAAAUUUUAAUUUUUCCCCUAGAUUCUUUUUAGCCUUUCACUAUUUAUCCGAUUCAUUAUGGUAAUAUUCCGAAUUCUAUUACGAUUCGGAUGGGUAAAAUAAUGGAAAUGAAUUGGCGAGUCGAAGGGAACUUGGAGGUGUGUGUUUGGCCGGAAACAAAAGCGCCCUUUGAAAGCGACAAGGAAUUCUGAUUCUUUGCUAGUCUUUUAACUGCAUUAAUGACCAAUUUGUAUAAAAAGUGUUGCAAAUUCUUGGAUGUUGCCAUUGUCCACAAAUGUCUAUCCGAUAUGACAUGUGGCGUAUUACGGGACGGCUCUCAGAGGCUAGCAAUUGAGACUUAAAAUAAUGAGCCUGCCUCUGUCGAGAGGCUAGCUAGGUCUUUUGGGUGAUUCAGACGGCAACCAAAAAAGAAGAAAAAGGAGGAGGAGAGAACCCAACAACAAUCUCCCUCAGCUCAAGGUUUUCUUCUUGUUCUUUUAAUAAGCUGCUGGGUUGUUAAUUAGAUAAUAGUUAUAUGGGUAAUAUUGGGGUGGGAAUGGCUGUAUAUAUUCCUUAAUAAGCUGUUGUGUGGUUAAUUUGUGAAGGAUAGAUGAUAAUACAUAUAUUAGUUGGUAGCAGUGGCGAAUCCAGGAUUCUCGGGCCAAUGCUCUUUUAAAAACUUUACAUUAUAGUUUCAUAAAUCAUUUAUUUUUUAAUAAUUUUAGGCACUUUUGUUUAUGCCUUAUCUAAAAGAGAAUAUCAUUUUUUAUAAAGAAUAAAAUUACAAUGUAUAGAGACUACAAUUAUCUUUUAAAUUUUUUUUAAAUGAAACUAACCCAACCCCCUACUUUGAAAAAGAAAAUUAAAAACAAAAAACAAAAAACAAUAUCUCUCAUUUUCUUUUAAAAAUAAAAUAAAAAAUACUACAUAUAAUAUAACAUGUUUGCUGUUGUUAGCGUCCCCCACUUUAAUACUUCUAAUAUUAUAUUUUUAUGUUGUUUUCAAAGCAAAAUAGGCAUUCAGAAAAAACAAAAAAACAAAAAAACAAAAAAACAAAAAACAAAGAAGAGACUAGCUCACGACACAGCACGAAUCAAAUAUACUCUUUUUUCCCCCUCUCCAGUCAAACUCUCUGUCGGUGGCUCUUCUUCCAGGGACUAUUUUGCGCCUCUGGGUUGCAACACAAAUUUCUUUUGAUCUGCUCUACCUUGUCUUUCCUUUUCUCUGUCCAAAAUUAAAACUCACCCACCCAUUACCAUUGCAGUAAUCCAUCAACCAACCUCUCUCUCUGUCUUUGGGGACUUUCAUCGAGCACGUUCAUUGCAUUCAAGGGUCAACAAGCUGCUGGCUAAGGGGUCUGCAACUGCUCUCCUGCGACCUCCACAGCCAAACGGCGGCAUCCCAGGGGGUCAAUUGACCCCUCUUGUCCCUUGGUGCAUCCGUUUGUGGGGUCAAGCGACCCCUCUUGUCCCUUAAUCCGUCCGCCCCUGGUUGGUAGUUGGUACUUUGUUUCCUUGGAUAUGUUCAAAGUUGGUGACUGUCUUCUCAUCUUUGCAUAUACUACGGGCAAAUUAACACUUGCACUAAACAAUUAUAUAUCCAGGAACUGCAGCCCACGUCUGCAACUGCAUAUAAAACCAGAAUAGCUAAGCAGAGGUGGAAAUAUCGAGAAAUUGAAACAGCUCACUGCGCGUGAGUUUUUUUUUCUGUAAAAUGAAUUCCCCAAGUGUCAAAUACAUUUCAGAAUGCUUUGUCCAGCCACACCAUGCCUCAGAAGAAUCAAAGCAGCCCUUCUACUUGACCCCCGGUGAUCUGGCCAUGCUCUCCGUGCACUACAUUCAAAAGGGCCUUCUCUUUUCCAAACCACCAGAAGCAAAACUGGGACAGGAGGAUUUCACCAAUUCUCUGUUGGAAAGGCUCAAACACUCUCUUUCCAUUGCACUUGUUCAUUUCUACCCAUUGGCAGGUCGCUUUGUGACCGAGAAGAACGAAGACCCGCCUUUGUAUUUGGUAUAUGUAGAUUGCAACAACAGCCCUGGAGCCAAAUUCAUAAAUGCAACUCUGGACAUGUCAAUUUCUGACAUUCUUUCACCAACUGAUGCGCCUUUGGUGGUUCAAUCGUUUUUUGAUCAUGACAGGGCGGUCAACCAUGAUGGGCACACUAUGUCCUUGCUAACCAUUCAGGUCACAGAGCUGGUAGAUGGCAUUUUUAUAGGGCUUUCCAUGAAUCACUGUCUUGGUGAUGGAACCUCUUACUGGCAUUUCUUCAACAUUUGGUCUGAGAUCUUUCAAGCACAAGCACAAGGAGAUCAUAAUAAUUUUGUACCCAAAAUCUCAAGACCACCAGUCCUCAAGCGCUGGUUUCCAGAUGGUCAUGGCCCAAUUAUCAAUCUCCCUUUCAAACACUCGGAUGAGUUCAUUGGCAGAUAUGAAGCUCCCAAACUCAGGGAGAGAAUGUUUCACUUCUCCUCGGAAUCCAUAGCCAAACUCAAAGCAAAGGCCAAUGCAGAAUCCAAUACCACCAAAAUCUCUUCCUUCCAGUCCUUGUCUGCCCUGAUGUGGAGGUCUAUUACUCGUGCGCGUGGUUUACCCCGAGAUCAAGGAACCAACUGCAGGCAUGUUUCCUUCAAUACAUUCCACUCAGAAUUCCCAAGUAGUUUUCUGUUUCUUGAUAUUUUCAUAAACAUCGAUAUUUAAUACCUUGGUUGCAGGUUGGCUGCGAAUAACAGAGGAAGAUUAGAGCCACCAUUGUCUGGAGAUUAUUUUGGGAACUCAAUUCACCCGAUUAGAUCAGAAAUUGUCCCAGCUGGUGAGUUGCUUGAACAUGGGCUUGGAUGGGCAGCGUGGAAGUUGCACGAAGCGGUAGUUAACCACAAUGACAAGUUGAUAAGGGAACAUGUUGAUGGCUGGCUGAAGUCUCCAGCUGUUUACCAACUGAGUUUCUUCGAUCCAUUCAGUGUGAUGAUGGGGAGUUCACCGAGGUUCAACAUGUAUGGAAAUCAGUUUGGAAUGGGAAAAGCACUAGCGCCUAGAAGUGGUUAUGCAAAUAAGUUUAGUGGGAAAGUGUCAUCGUACGAAGGCCGCGAAGAAGGAAGCAUAGACUUGGAGGUGUGUCUUCCACCUGAUGCAAUGAGUGCUCUUGAAUGUGACAGUGAGUUCAUGGAAGCUGCCUCUUUACCCCUUUAUUAGUGACAAGUGAUCAUAUGAAUAAGAAUCAUGCAAUCUGCACAAUGUUUAAGUAGAGUUGAGAAUAAUAUGAAUAUGCAUAUGCUUAAUUUGGUAGUGGAAUGAUAGAAAGGUGUGUGGAAGGAAGAAUGAGAAAAAAUGGAACAGAAAAAGAAUAUUUCAUUAAAAAGCACUUAGUUCAAAAGAUAUGAAUAAGGUGUAUAUGGAAUUUACACAUUCAACCAAAUCCUUAGCCGUUCAGCCAAAAAUCAUUUGUUAGUAACUUUGUGCUAUUUUAAACAUAAAAAAUAUUGUUAUGACUAACAAGAUAUGACGGAUGAUUGUCACAUUUUUUAUAAUUAUCCACAUAAUAAUAAUAUGGAGGCAAAAGCCAAGGGCGGCCCUAGGUGGUGCAAGUGGCGCCACCGCACAGGACAUCAAAAAAAUAUUCUUUAUAUUAUAUUAUAUUAUAUAUAUAUAUAAAUAUAUUAAUAUUAUAGGAAUUGUAUAUAUAGUAUAGCAUUGUUGUUGCAUUUGUGUUUAAUACAAUAUAAUUUAAUUUGUUAAUGACAUUUGUGUGCAACUACUUUUUAAUUUUUGAUUGCCAAUUUUUUUUCCUAUUAAACACAGAUUGCUUAUUAGAGGCAGCAAGGGACCUUAUAGGGGCACAAAUAGCUUAUUUUUGUACCAAGCAUUUAAUUUUAUCUAAUAGAAACAUUUAAAUUUUUAUGAAUUUGAUUUCUGAUUGUCAUUACAUACUUAUUGAUGGUGACUUUUUAGUUAUAAAAAAAAUUGUUUAUGACAUUAAGUUAUGGAAAAUUUUUAUUUAUAGUAUUUUCGUAUUAGAUUAUGUGAUGCUCCAAUUUAAGUUUCGCACAGGGCUCUCAAAAUCUCAAAGACGACCCUAGCAAAAGCCAAAGUAGCAAGCAUGUGGUUGCUUGGCAUGAGCACAAGAUUAAAACGUUAUGUUUUUAAAUGACAAGAAAAAAAAUGUAAAGAAAUGUUAACAUACCUUGGGUGGACAGAUGCUUGGUGAGGCUUUAUAUCCCCUAGUUGACCAGUUGGAGCACGAGUCAGCAGCUAAGGUGACAGGCAUGCUUUUGGAGAUGGACCAGACUGAAGUUUUGCAUUUGCUCGAGUCGCCGGAGGCUUUGAAGGCCAAAGUGGCAGAGGCCAUGGAGGUCCUGAGAAAUGUUGCCCAACAGCAGGCUAACAGCAGCGCUGAUCAACUAUCUUCAUUGUCUCUGAAUGACAACCUUGUCUCAUAAAUGAGAAGUGUGGCAUCUGGUGUUUCCUCGCUAUGUGGGGAGUCUUUGGCAGAAGUUUUCGUUUGAUGUUGGAGUGAUUGUAGCUUUUUCAAAAUUAGAGACUAGACUUAAUUUCCUCCUGCUCCUGCAUUUUUUGUUUUGUUUUUGGUUUUUGGUUGUGUAGGAUUUUUACCGUUUGUUACAUUUGGCUUGCAUCAUGGAUUCAUGGUUUUGGUUAAGAGUUUUUAUCAAAAAUAGUUAAAAUUUACCUGAUACUUUCAUAAAUGUCCAUUUUGAUAAAAUUUUUCAAAAAUAGUUAAAAACUCACGUAAAUAGACUAAAAUGCCCUCAAAACUUAAACCCACAUAAACC